GGUCUGAAAAAUGAUAUUCAUUGUCCUAAUGUGUAAAUUUCGACAAUUUGCAAAUUUGUAGAUUCUUUAGAAUAGAACUAACUCAAGCCCUUCAUUCUGCAGCUGAGGCUCACUGCCCCCAGUGGGCAGUGGGUCCAGGGGGUUUCUGAGGACAGGGCAUGACCCAGCCCUGCUGCCCCCAAGAUGGCACCUGGCUUGGAGGGGUGAGGGGCCCUGUUAGUCUGACUUUGAAGAAGACCAGCCUUCCAGACUCGCUUGGUGCCCUGACAGGAGCCCUGGGCUCCCCCAGUGUUGCCUGGGUCUGACUUUGCCUCAGUGAAAACUGCCUCGAAUUCUUUCUUGCACCGAUGGGCAGAUGGGCAGUGUCGGAGGAUCGUGUCAUCUGUCCCGUGGCGCUGGUUGGCUUGGUCAAGUCAGUGUUCAAACUAUCUCCUGCUCUUUCAAGGGGAUCUGGGGCUCUAGAAGAUUAGAGGACUUGGAGAGGUUAGUGACUUGCUC
rnacentral:lncRNA from 10 species